rnacentral:rRNA from 1 species
UCAUGGCUCAGAUUGAACGCUGGCGGCAGGCCUAACACAUGCAAGUCGAGCGGCAGCACAAGGGAGUUUACUCCUGAGGUGGCGAGCGGCGGACGGGUGAGUAAUGCCUAGGGAUCUGCCCAGUCGAGGGGGAUAACAGUUGGAAACGACUGCUAAUACCGCAUACGCCCUACGGGGGAAAGGAGGGGACCUUCGGGCCUUCCGCGAUUGGAUGAACCUAGGUGGGAUUAGCUAGUUGGUGAGGUAAUGGCUCACCAAGGCGACGAUCCCUAGCUGUUCUGAGAGGAUGAUCAGCCACACUGGGACUGAGACACGGCCCAGACUCCUACGGGAGGCAGCAGUGGGGAAUAUUGCACAAUGGGGGAAACCCUGAUGCAGCCAUGCCGCGUGUGUGAAGAAGGCCUUCGGGUUGUAAAGCACUUUCAGUAGGGAGGAAAGGGUGUAGUUUAAUACGCUAUAUCUGUGACGUUACCUACAGAAGAAGGACCGGCUAACUCCGUGCCAGCAGCCGCGGUAAUAC